rnacentral:rRNA from 1 species
GCAAGUCGAACGGUGACGAGGAGCUUGCUCCUCUGAUCAGUGGCGAACGGGUGAGUAACACGUGAGCAACCUACCCUUGACCCUGGGAUAACAGUUGGAAACAGCUGCUAAUACCGGAUACGACCCCAGCAGGCAUCUGCCGGGGUGGAAAGCUCCGACGGUCAAGGAUGGGCUCGCGGCCUAUCAGCUUGUUGGUGAGGUAACGGCUCACCAAGGCGUCGACGGGUAGCCGGCCUGAGAGGGCGACCGGCCACACUGGGACUGAGAUACGGCCCAGACUCCUACGGGAGGCAGCAGUGGGGAAUAUUGCGCAAUGGGCGAAAGCCUGACGCAGCAACGCCGCGUGCGGGAUGACGGCCUUCGGGUUGUAAACCGCUUUCAGCAGGGACGAAGGGUCACCUUGACGGUACCUGCAGAAGAAGCACCGGCUAACUACGUGCCAGCAGCCGCGGUGAUACGUAGGGUGCGAGCGUUGUCCGGAAUUAUUGGGCGUAAAGAGCUUGUAGGCGGUCUGUUGCGUCGGAAGUGAAAACUCAGGGCUUAACCCUGAGCCUGCUUUCGAUACGGGCAGACUUGAGGGAUGUAGGGGAGAACGGAAUUCCUGGUGGAGCGGUGGAAUGCGCAGAUAUCAGGAGGAACACCAGUGGCGAAGGCGGUUCUCUGGACAUUUCCUGACGCUGAGAAGCGAAAGCGUGGGGAGCAAACAGGCUUAGAUACCCUGGUAGUCCACGCCGUAAACGGUGGGCACUAGGU